rnacentral:sRNA from 1 species
GCUGGGCACGGUGGCUCACUCCUGUAAUCCCAGCAGCUUGGAGGCUGAGACAGGAGUAUCAUGAGAUCAAAGUUAGCCUCAGUAAUGGUGAGGUACAAAGCAACUUAGUGAGAUCCUGUCUCUA